UACGGGGGGUGCAAGCGUUGUUCGGAUUUACUGGGCGUAAAGGGCGCGUAGGCGGUCAGCACAAGUCAGUUGUGAAAUCUCCGGGCUUAACUCGGAAAGGUCAACUGAUACUGUGCGACUAGAGUGCAGAAGGGGCAACUGGAAUUCUCGGUGUAGCGGUGAAAUGCGUAGAUAUCGAGAGGAACACCUGCGGCGAAGGCGGGUUGCUGGGCUGACACUGACGCUGAUGCGCGAAAGCCAGGGGAGCGAACGGG
rnacentral:rRNA from 1 species